rnacentral:rRNA from 1 species
GAUGAACGCUGGCGGCGUGCCUAAUACAUGCAAGUCGAGCGAAGCGGGGACGGGGGAGUACCAUGUGGAUAACCUCCUAUAAGACUGGGAUAACUUCGGGAAACCGGCGCUAAACCUGCUAUUUAUAGUUGGCUCCUCUCUGCAUUAGCUAGUUGGUAAGGUAACGACUUACCAAGGCGACGAUGCAUAGCCGACCUGAGAGGGUGAUCGGCCAAACUGGAACUGAGACACGGACCAGACGCCGACGGGAGGCAGCAGUAGUGAAACUGCCGCAAUGGGCGAGAGCCUGACGGAGCCACGCCGCGUGAGUGAUGAAGGUCUUCGGAUCGUAAAACUCUGUUAUUAGAGAAGCGGUACCUAAUCAGAAAGCCACGGCUAACUACGUGCCAGCAGCCGCGGUAAUAC